CUACGGGUUGCACCAGUGGGGAAUAUUGCACAAUGGACGAAAGUCUGAUGCAGCAACGCCGCGUGGAGGAUGACACAUUUCGGUGCGUAAACUCCUUUUAUAAGAGAAGAUAAUGACGGUAUCUUAUGAAUAAGCUCCGGCUAACUCCGUGCCAGCAGCCGCGGUAAUACGGGGGGAGCAAGCGUUACUCGGAAUUACUGGGCGUAAAGCGCAUGUAGGCGGACUUGUAAGUUGGAAGUGAAAUCCUAUGGCUUAACCAUAGAACUGCUUCCAAAACUACUUGUCUAGAAUGUGGGAGAGGUAGAUGGAAUUUCUGGUGUAGGGGUAAAAUCCGUAGAGAUCAGAAGGAAUACCGAUUGCGAAGGCGAUCUACUGGAACAAUAUUGACGCUGAGAUGCGAAAGCGUGGGGAGCAAACAGGAUUAGAUACCCUAGUAGUC
rnacentral:rRNA from 1 species